GUGGCCAGCGGCGCCGCCGGGCUCGCCCGCGCGCGCGCCCGCUCCACCAUCCAUCACGUGCACAUUCUUUGGCGCAGCCUCACGGCUCCGCCGCUACGGGAAUGUCCUCAGCACGUCUCACUUUCCACGCGAAAGCUUUGAGGUUACAGUCUCAGGGGGGAGUACGUUCGCAAGAGUGAAACUUAAAGAAAU
rnacentral:rRNA from 1 species